rnacentral:rRNA from 1 species
AUACGGAGGAUCCGAGCGUUAUCCGGAUUUAUUGGGUUUAAAGGGUGCGCAGGCGGCCAUUUAAGUCAGCGGUUAAAUCGUGGGGCUCCACCCCAUUCUGCCGUUGAUACUGGGUGGCUUGAUUGCGGUCGAGGUUGGCGGAAUUCGUUGUGUAGCGGUGAAAUGCAUAGAUAUGACGAAGAACACCGAUUGCGUAGGCAGCUGACCAGACCGCAAAUGACGCUCAUGCACGAAAGUGCGGGGAUCGAACAGGAUUAGAUACCCUGGUAGUCCGCACAGUAAACGAUGAAUACUUGUUUUCGGCGAUAUAAUGUCGGAGGCGAAGCGAAAGCGAUAAGUAUUCCACCUGGGGAGUACGCCGGCAACGGUGAAACUCAAAUGAAUUGACGGGG